UACGUAGGGUGCAAGCGUUAUCCGGAAUUAUUGGGCGUAAAGAGCUCGUAGGCGGUUUGUCGCGUCUGCUGUGAAAUCCCGAGGCUCAACCUCGGGCUUGCAGUGGGGUACGGGCAGGCUAGAGUGCGGUAGGGGGAGAAUGGAACUCCUGGUGUAGCGGUGGAAUGCGCAGAUAUCAGGAAGAACACCGAUGGCGAAGGCAGUUCUCUGGGCCGUAACUGACGCUGAGGAGCGAAAGCGUGGGGAGCGAACAGG
rnacentral:rRNA from 1 species